CCUACGGGUGGCAGCAGUGGGGGAUAUUGCACAAUGGGGGGAACCCUGAUGCAGCGACGCCGCGUGGGUGAAGAAGCGCCUCGGCGCGUACAGCCCUGUCAGCAGGGAAGAAAAUGACGGUACCUGAAGAAGAAGCCCCGGCCAACUACGUGCCAGCAGCCGCGGUAAUACGUAGGGGGCAAGCGUUAUCCGGAUUUACUGGGUGUAAAGGGGGCGCAGACGGCGAUGCAAGCCAGGAGUGAAAGCCCGGGGCCCAACCCCGGGACUGCUCUUGGAACUGCGUGGCUGGAGUGCAGGAGGGGCAGGCGGAAUUCGUAGUGUAGCGGUGAAAUGCGUAGAUAUUAGGAGGAACACCAGUUGCGAAGGCGGCUCUCUGGACUGUAACUGACACUGAGGCACGAAAGCGUGGGGAGCAAACAGGAUUAGAUACCCCUGUAGUC
rnacentral:rRNA from 1 species